rnacentral:rRNA from 1 species
AGUGAACGCUGGCGGUAGGCCUAACACAUGCAAGUCGAACGGCAGCACAGGAGAGCUUGCUCUCUGGGUGGCGAGUGGCGGACGGGUGAGGAAUACAUCGGAAUCUACUCUGUCGUGGGGGAGAACGUAGGGAAACUUACGCUAAUACCGCAUACGACCUACGGGUGAAAGCAGGGGACCUUCGGGCCUUGCGCGAUUGACUGAGCCGAUGUCGGAUUAGCUAGUUGGCGGGGUAAAGGCCCACCAAGGCGACGAUCCGUAGCUGGUCUGAGAGGAUGAUCAGCCACACUGGAACUGAGACACGGUCCAGACUCCUACGGGAGGCAGCAGUGGGGAAUAUUGGACAAUGGGCGCAAGCCUGAUCCAGCCAUACCGCGUGGGUGAAGAAGGCCUUCGGGUUGUAAAGCCCUUUUGUUGGGAAAGAAAUCCAGCUGGCUAAUACCCGGUUGGGAUGACGGUACCCAAAGAAUAAGCACCGGCUAACUUCGUGCCAGCCGCCGCAGUAA